rnacentral:rRNA from 1 species
GGGUGCGAUCAUACCAGCACUAAUGCACCGGAUCCCAUCAGAACUCCGCUCUUAAGCGUGCUUGGGCGAGAGUAGUACUAGGAUGGGUGACCUCUUGGGAAGUCCUCGUGUUGCACCCC